UUUUUUUUGAGGUCGACUGGUCGACUUUGUCUUCAACAGGAUUAGUGGGGGCACGCUGAGUGCACCCACUGGGUGUAGUCCCCGAGACUACGGUCGAAUGCUUGUAUUCGGCUGUAGUCUUAGAAACGUGUGUUUUUCCCUUUUUCACUCGGAAGUGAGUUACAUUUGACGUUUAGUCGAUUGGUUCUUCGCAGAACUCCUGUGAUCUUGUGGCUCGCUACUCAGAGCUGGAACAAAAACAUACUCAAGUCGAGCUGAGCUUGAAGCUGGUUCAGGAGAAGCUGACAAAGGCAAAGGAGGAGACCGAAGGUAUGUUUGGUGAGACCCUGACGACUGCUUUUCCCCUUGCUUGUUUCGGCAUCUGAUCUCGCUGUAACUUGCAGGUAAGGUAAGGGAGGCCCAGCAGAAGAAAGACCUUGAGCUAGCUGAGAAGAUCAAGCUUGCUGACGAGAAGUUAGCUUCAGUCACCAAGCUCGAACAAGACAAUACCAAUCUGAAAACUGCUCUUGGGAUUGCCAACAAGGAAAUCAGUCGACUGAGAACUGACAAAGCUGCCUUGACCGACCAAGUCAGCAAAUUGACUGAGAAGAAAACUGAACUGGAGGCCUUCCUGAGUGGCCUUGCCAAGAAGCUGUUUCUUAUGCUUGAAGGUAAACCUCCAUGUUUGGCAAAUAUUUCCAACUGUGGCUUCUUCCAUUCGACUAUCCCCUUGACUUAGUGAUCACCCUUGCAGAAUUUUGUCAAAACUUUGAAGAGGAAACCAGCCGACUGGAGCCAAACCUUGACCCCGUCAAUUCUCCGGUGAACGACGAAGUUGCCAUGGAUGUUUUCCGACUGGAGUCUCGUGUCGCAGCUGUCGUGGACUAUCUCGCAAGGCUGAAGGCCGCCACAUCUCGCAUCGACUCGACGCUCUGGCCUGAGGAGACACUUCAGAAUGACCUUGAGUCGCUGAUGGCCCGCUUGAACACGAUCCCUGGUCGAGUGCAGGAGUGGAAGAAGUCCUCGGCUCGGUGUGGUGCAGAUGUCGCUCUGUGUCUGGCCUGAGUCCACUGCAAAGAUGCGCGAGAAGAGAAGCUGGCGGCCCUUCGGGUGGCCAAUACCAAGAAGCACGACUUCAGAUCCUUUAUGGAAACUUUCCUUGCAGCUGCCACUCGGAUCGCCGACGGGAUUGACCUUGAUGAAUUUGUUGCACCUUCCAGCCCUCCACAGGAGGGGUAAAAAACUUCUUCUGGCUCGACGCUUUAAAUUUGCCUCGGUAUGCCGAGUGAAAUUGUAACCGACAAACCUUAACAGGCUUGACGCCUGAGCACUUUCGGUUCCUUUAGAUGUCGAUUCAAACUUGGAUUUGGUGCUUGAAUACGAUUGCCUUCGGCUCGGAAUGUCUUUUGCAGGUUCAAAGCAAGGUGCCUGUGCUGCAAUCGACUUAUUCUUUAGUCCACUUAGACGAGCACUGGGCUGCAGCUAAGCCCUCCGAAUGAGAGGGUUGCUCUCCACUUGGCAGGGUUUUUAUACCUUAGGCAAGCGCUUGGACUGCAGCUAAGCCCCCGAGUGAGAGGGUUGCUCUUCACUCGGUAGGAUUUUUGUAACUUAGGCGAGCACAGGGCUGCAGCUAAGCCCCCGAGUGAGAGGGUUGCUCUUCACUCGGUAGGAUUUUCACAACUUAGGCGAGUGCUUGGACUGCAGCUAAGCCCCCGAGUGAGAGGGUUGCUCUUCACUCGGUAGGAUUUUUAUAACUUAGGCGAGCACGAGGCUGCAGCUAAGCCUCCGAGUGGAAGGCUGGCUUACCACUCGGUAGGAUUUUGAUAACUUAGACGAGCACAUGGCUGCAGCUAAGCCCCCGAGUGAGAGGAUUGCUCUUCACUCGGCAGGAUUUUGAUAACUUAGGCGAGCACGAGGCUGCAGCUAAGCCUCCGAGUGAGAGGAUUGCUCUUCACUCGGCAGGAUUUUGAUAACUUAGGCGAGCACAAGGCUGCAGCUAAGCCUCCGAGUGGAAGGCUGGCUUACCACUCGGUAGGAUUUUGAUAACUUAGGCGAAACGGAUUCGCAGCUAAGCCUCCGAGUGGGAGUCUGGCUCACCACUCGGUAGGAUUUUUACAAACUUAGGCGAAACGGAUUCGCAACUAAGUCACCCACUGAGGGGAAUUUUAUUGGAAAAUAAAAAGUGACAGAUAGUGUGGAGGAACUAUGACACUAUUAUUUUGAGGUCCAUGAACUACAAAAGUACUUUAUUGCAACUCAUCCGAGUGAUAAAACUUAAGUGUAAAAUGGGCGGAGUAGCUCCGCGUUCCAAGCUCGGGGCUCGUCGAUAUUAUGCUCGACGUUGUAAAGACGGUACGCCCCGUUGUGGAGAACCUUGGUGACGAUGAAGGGGCCUUCCCAAGAAGGAGCAAGCUUGUGUGGUUUGUGCUGAUCCACUCGGAGAACUAGAUCCCCUUCCUGGAAGGCUCGACCUCUCACAUUUCUGGCGUGGAAACGACGCAGAGCUUGUUGGUAGAUGGUCGAUCGGAUCAGAGCCAUCUCCCUUUCUUCCUCUAAAAGGUCGACUGCGUCCUGCCGCGCUUGUUCAGCUUCUGCUUCGUUGUAGAUUUCAACUCGAGGAGCAUUGUGGAGAAGAUCACUCGGCAAGACUGCUUCAGCUCCAUAGACCAAGAAGAAUGGAGUUCUUCCGGUCGACCGAUUAGGCGUGGUCCGCAGUCCCCAUAGUACAGAUGGAAGUUCGUCGACCCAAGCCCCAGCCGCGUGUUUGAGAUCACGCAUCAGUCGAGGCUUCAGUCCCUUGAGAAUCAGUCCAUUAGCUCGCUCUGCUUGUCCAUUCGACUGCGGAUGGGCGACUGAUGCGUAGUCGACCCGUGUGCCCUGGGAGUUGCAGAAGGUUCUGAAUUCCUCUGAGUCAAAGUUCGACCCAUUAUCCGUAAUGAUGCUGUGCGGGACUCCAUAUCUGAAUAUUAGUUCCCUGAUGAAGCUAACAGCAGUACCGGUGUCGAGGCUCUUGAUUGGUUUAGCCUCGAUCCACUUGGUGAAUUUGUCGACUGCCACCAGUACAUGCGUGAAGCCACUUCGUCCUGUUCUCAAAGGGCCGACCAUGUCCAGCCCCCAAACUGCAAAAGGCCAGACGAGUGGGAUGGUCUUCAAAGCUGACGCAGGCUUGUGCGACAUAUUCGAGUAGAACUGACAUCCCUCGCACUUAUCUAUUAUCUCUUUUGCCAUCUCAUUCGCCUUGGGCCAGUAAAAUCCGGCUCGGUAUGCUUUGGCCACGAUGGUCCGAGAGGACGCAUGAUGACCACAGGUUCCCGAGUGAAUAUCAUUGAGGAUGAGUCGACCUUCUUCUGGUGUUAUGCACUUCUGACCGACUCCAGUCGCGCUUUCUCUGUAUAAUUGUCCUUUGAUUACGGUAAAGGCCUUAGAUCGACGGACGAUCUGUCGAGCCUCUUCCUCAUCCUCCGGAAGCUCUUUCCUCAAGAUAUAUGCGACAUACGGAAUCGUCCAGUCGGGAAUGACCACCAAAACCUCCAUGAUCAAGUCGACCACCGCUGGGACUUCAACUUCAGUCGGAUCUGUGGCGCUCUUGGGCUGCGGAGUUUCUUCGGUGAAAGGAUCUUCUUUGACUGACGGAGUGUGUAUAUGCUCCAAGAACACACCACUCGGAAUGGCUUCUCUCUUGGAACCUAUCUUUGCUAGAUCAUCAGCUGCUUGAUUUUUCAGUCGGGGUAUAUGAUGGAGAUCCAACCCCUCGAACUUCUUUUCCAGCUUCCUCACUGCACUGCAGUAUCCAGUCAUGGCUGGGCUUCUCACGUCCCACUCUUUCAUCACCUGAUUGACCACUAAAUCCGAGUCGCCAUAGACCAUUAGGCGACGGACACCGAGUGAAAUGGCCAUGCGCAACCCAUAUAGGAGGGCCUCAUAUUCUGCCUCAUUGUUGGAGGAAUCAAAGUGAAUCUGGAGCACAUAUCUGAGCUUAUCUCCUCUGGGGGAAACCAGGACAACCCCAGCACCGGAACCAUUCAACAUCUUAGAGCCAUCGAAAAACAUGGUCCAAUGCUCCGAGUGAACUUCAGUCGGCUGCUGUUGUUCAAUCCACUCGGCGAGGAAAUAUGCUAUCGCCUGGGACUUAAUGGCUUUCUUUGCCUCAAACUUGAUAUCAAGGGGAAGAAGUUCAAUCGCCCAUUUGGCCACUCGACCAGUUGCAUCUCUGUUGUGCAAAAUCUCUGAUAGUGGAGCGUCGCUGACGACUGUGAUGGAAUGGUCAGAGAAAUAAUGAGCAACCUUCUUUGUGGUCAUGUAUAUUCCAUACACAAGCUUCUGAUAAUGAGGAUAUCUCUGCUUGGAUGGAGUCAAGACUUCAGACAAAUAAUACACUGGGCGCUGAACUUUGAGAGCUUUUCCUUCUUCUUCCCGCUCGACCGUUAGCACAGUACUGACGACUUGUCCUGUGGCUGCGAUGUAGAGCAACAGAGGCUCUUUGCUGAUUGGAGCAGCAAGCACCGGCUGGGUGGAGAGCAGAGCUUUUAGCUCGGCAAACGCUGCAUCAGCUUCUGGAGUCCACUCGAACUUGUCAGCCUUCUUCAUCAGUCGGUAAAGAGGCAGUGCCUUUUCACCGAGUCGUGAGAUGAAUCAACUUAAUGCGGCCAAGCAUCCAGUAAGCUUCUGGACAUCGUGCACUCGCACAGGGCGUUUCAUUCGGAGGAUAGUGCCAAUCUUCUCUGGGUUAGCGUCGAUUCCCCGUUCGGAAACGAGAAAACCGAGUAACUUGCCACCAGGAACUCCAAAUGUGCACUUUGAUGGAUUGAGCUUGAUAUCAUACCUUCUGAGGUUGGCAAAUGUUUCGGCGAGGUCAGCGAGCAGGUCGGAACCUUUUCGUGACUUGACAACAAUAUCAUCCAUAUAAGCUUCCACAUUCCGACUGAUUUGGGUGAGUAGACACUUCUGAAUCAUUCGCAUAAAAGUGGCUCCGGCAUUCUUGAGGCCGAAUGGCAUGGUGAUAUAGCAGAAGCACCCGAAUGGAGUGAUGAAAGUUGUUUUUACCUCAUCGGGCCCGUACAGACGGAUCUGGUGGUACCCGGAGUAAGCAUCUAAAAAAGACAACCUCUCGCAUCCCGCGGUCGAGUCAACAAUUUGAUCUAUGCGAGGGAGAGGAAAGUGAUCUUUCGGGCAGGCCCGGUUGAUGUGCUUGAAAUCAAUGCACAUUCGGAGCGACUUGUCCUUCUUAGGAACCAUGACGACAUUAGCGAGCCACUCGGAGUGGUAUAUCUCUCGGAUAAAUCCUGCCGCCAACAGUCGAGCCACUUCUUCACCGAUGGCCUUUCUCUUCUGGACGGCGGACCGCCGAAGAUGCUCUUUGACUGGUUUUGCAGACGAGUCGACUCUUAGGCGAUGCUCAGCCAGUCCCCUGGGAACACCUGGCAUGUCAGCGGGCUUCCAUGCAAAAAUGUCCCAGUUCUCACGGAGGAACUGGAUGAGCGCUUCUUCCUAUUUUGGGUCGAGUGUUGUGGAAAUGCGGGUCGGAGCUGCUUCGGGGUCGGUCGGGUGAAUGUGAACAGGCUUCGUCUCACCGGACGACUGGAAUGCAGACUCUGUGGCGGGCUUCUUGGAUCGCAGCAAGUCACUCGGAUCUGCGUUUUGCUUGUAUUCUUCGAACUCGACCGCUGUCACUUGGGAAUCGGCAAUCUUGGAGCCCUUCUGAAAGCACUCCUCUGCCUUUUUCCUAUCACCGGUGACAGUGAUCACACCUUUGGGACCGGGCAUCUUCAAUUUGAGGUACACGUAACAUGGUCGAGCCAUGAACCGUGCAUAGGCUGGUCUCCCCAAAAUGGCAUGAUAUGCACUUUGAAAAUCCACGACCUCAAACGUCAACUUUUCUUUGCGAAAAUGCUUCGAAUCACCAAACACUACGUCCAAAGCUAUCUGGCCAAGUGACUCGGCCUUCUUCCCUGGUAUAACUCCAUGGAAGCUCAUGUUACUAGUGCUCAGUCGGGACAUCGGAAUGCCCAUACCUUUCAAUGUGUCUGCAUACAAUAAGUUCAGCCCACUUCCACCAUCCAUCAGCACCUUUGUCAGUCGAGUGCCUUCGACAACUGGAUCGACCACCAAAGCUUGCCUCCCGGGGGUGGCAAUAUGAGUCGGGUGAUCAGAUUGGUCGAAUGUGAUGGGUGUUUGAGACCACUUCAGAUAAUUUGCCUUUGCUGGGGCAACCAUGUUCACCUCUCGGUUAAUCACUUUCAGUCGACUUCUGCUUUCCACAUCUGCAAAGAUCAUCAGAGUGGAGUUGAUAUGCGGAUAUCCUCCCUCACUAUCCUCUUUGUCUUCGGCCUUGUCCGACUCCUUCUCCUUGUCCUUAGACUGUUUUUCCUGAAACUGCUGGAUCAGGAGUCGACAUUGGCGAGUGGUGUGCUUUGGGUAAAUGAUAUUCCCCUCUUCGUCUUUCUUCGUGUGAAUGUGACAUGGCAUAUCCAACACGUCGUUCCCUUCUUUAUCCUUUAACUUCUUGGGGUUCCAGGAUCCUUUUGGUUUCCCCUUAAACUUUCCUUGAGUCACGGCCAGAGCCUCUCCAGGAGCUGCCGGUUCAGCCUUCCGCUUCUGUUUCCGACUGGUGUUUCCUUUUUCCGACUGACUCGGCUUGUGCUUGCCGCUUCGGAGUCGGUCUUCUUCUUCGCCGUUGGCGUACUUGGUAGCAAUCUCCAUCAUCCGACUCAAGGUCAUGUCACCGGUUCGACCAAAUUUCAAACUCAGUUCUCUGUUCUUGACGCCGUCUUUGAAGGCGCAUACUGCCUGAUGAUCAGAGACAUUUUCCACAGUGUGGUGCAAAGUGAUCCACCUCUGAAUAUACUCUCUGAGAGUCUCAUUAGUUUUCUGCACGCAGACUUGCAACUCUGUCAAUCCCGCUGGUCGCUUGCAAGUCCCUUCAAACGUUCUGACGAACACUCGGGACAGAUCUUCCCAAGUGUAAAUGCUGUUAGGAGGUAAUUGAGUCAACCAUGCCCUGGCAGAACCUUCCAACAUGAGGGGCAAAUGCUUCAUGGCCACCUCGUCGUUCCCACCACCGAUCUGAACUGCCACUCGGUAGUCUUCAAGCCAAGUUUCAGGCUUAGACUCACCAGUGAACUUGCUGACUCCUGUUGCCAACCUGAAAUUGGGGGGGAUAACUGCGGCUCUGAUAGCUCUGCUGAAACAUUCAGGACCAGAAACAUGUACUCGACUGCUCGUGGGUACAUCUCUGUCGAGUGCGCCUCGAUGGGCUCUGUUCCGGUCGACCAACCCUUGCACGAUAAUGGAUCGCGCGUCGAAGCCUGGCUCUCUGGGGUCAACUGGAACCCUACGCCCUGUACUGUACUGACGCCUAUCAUCUGGCUGCCGAGGAGCGUAAGACCCACCCCUCGGAGGGGAAUAGGGCACUCGACGCCUAUCAUCUCGGUCGAGUCUGUCGCCAUACUGAUCUCGCCGAUUCUCACGCCCUUCGCGCCACGGAGGCGAUCUGGGGCUGUGAGCCGACUGAACCGUAUUCACAGUGACAGAUCGACUGUGAAUUCUGUUGCGCGACUGAGACACGGCUGAAUUCUGAUCUCCUGCUGCCCGGAGCAGAUCCCUGAUCUGCAGCAAACCUCUGCCAGCUUCCGACUGCGAAGGCUGAAUGGACUCUGCUAUACGGGUCGCAGCUGCUAAAUUCUGAAUUGGGGUUCGAUAUACCCGAGUCGGCGGGAAGAGUUGGCGUCGACUGGUGUCGGGAACUCGUUGCCGCGCGCGCUCGUCGAGUGCUCGCUGAAGGUUCUCCAGUCGAGUGCGCUCGGCCAAAUUGGCCAGACGCGCCUCCUCCAAGGCACGAGCCUCGGGGGUUUCUCCUGCGAUGGGAAUACGCAGGGGAUCCUCGUUCCUGCGGCGAAGCUCUUCUCUUUGUAGAGAGUCGAGUGGCUCGGACUGGUACUCUUCGUAGUCUCGUGCAGGGUCGCCGCCGUCACCUGCUCCACCACCUCGGGCGAAGCCAGGAGGGCUGUGGGGCCCGUCGACCAUCAAGAUUUCCGCCGCUGGAUCACUGCUUCCGCACUCGGAUGCGGUCUCUCCGGAGCCAGUCGACUGAUCGAACAAGCCGUAGAGAGAUUCGUUGGGCUCGAUUGCCGCAACUUGUGUAGUGGCCGAUUGGCGAGCCACCGCGUGACUCACCCAUCGCUGAAGCCUCGACCGGCCUGAGCGCUUGCGCUGGCGGGAGACCGGGAGGGUGGACGAUGGAGGAGCCGACCGAUACUGGGUCGACGGUUGCCGCAGCAGAACGCCGCGGACGCAUGCGCGAAAAUGCGUCGCACCGCGGACGGGGAGCGCGUCUACGUCGAGUGGAGCCUCCUGGAGCCAUGCGGAGUCGUCGGCGAUGAAGGUGAAAGAGCCGAGACGGAUCUCUUGACCCUUGACCAAAACUCCAGCAGACACCAUGAUGAGAGUACUCGGAAGAAUCGCAACUUCUCCACAAAAUCGCUAAAACACCUGCCCCACGGUGGGCGCCAACUGUCGUGGUUCUAAGCCUGACAGUAGAGUGGGGGGUAGGUAUGGAGAGGCAAGGUCCUAGCUAUGGAGAGGUUGUAAGCACAAAGGAUGUACGAGUUCAGGCCCUUCUCGGAAGAAGUAACAGCCCUACGCCUCGGAGCCCGGAGGCGGUCGAGUGGAUUAUGAGUGUAUGAAUUACAAGGUGCCGAACCCUUCUGCCUGUGGAGGGGGGUGGCUUAUAUAGAGUGCGCCAGGACCCCAGCCAGCCCACGUAGGAGAGGGUUUAAGGUGAGUUAAGUCUGGGGCGUUACUGGUAACGCCCCACAUAAAGUGCCUUUACUAUCAUAAAGACUACUUGAUUACAGGCCGUUGCAGUGCAGAGUGCCUCUUGACCUCCUGGUGGUCGAGUGAGUCUUCGUGGUCGAGUCCUUCAGGCUAGUCGAGUGAAUCUUCGUUGGUCGACUGGAAGGCGACCUCUUCUAAGGAUGUCCUGGGGUAAGUUACUUGGAUCAGGUCCAUGACCCUACCCUAGGUACAUAACCCCAUCAGUAGCACCUCCCAAAACUAGCCCGGCGGAGCCCAGUCCCGGACAUGGCCCCUCUAAUCAAGCCGGCCUUCUCCGCCGAGUCGACGACGAGGAUGCGGGAUAGGCAUCAUCGACGUUAAUGGAGGAAUAAUUGCUUUAACUAAAAAAAUAAACUAGUUCUAUUAAUUUUCUUGUUAAAAAUAAACUACUUCUAUAGUAAAAUAAACUAGUUUUAUUGAAUCAAGUAGUUCAACUACUAAGCACUUAUUAUAAAUUGAAUAAAGUAGUACUUACUAAAAAUAAACUACUUCUAUAUAUAGUAAAAUAAAGUAGUUUUAUUAAACCAACUAGUUUAACUACUAAUUAAUUAAGCACUUACUAUAAAUAAAGUAGUUUUAUUAAAUCAACUAGUUCAACUACUAAUUAAGCAUUUACUAUAAAUAAACUAGUUUAACUAGUUCAACUACUAAUUAAUCACCUCCGCGGUGUCCGGAAAAAGAAAAAAAAGAGGAGAAGAAGAAAAGAUUAAUAGAGGAGAAGAUCGAAGAAAAAAAGAAGAAGAAAAAUAGGAGAAGAAGAAAGGAAUAGAGGAGAAGAAGAAAAAAUAGAAAACUUACUAUUUUUUCUUCUUCUCCUCCUUUUUCCACUUCUUCCUCUCCUCUUAUUCUCCUUCUUCUUCUCCUUCUUCCUCUCCUGCUUCUUUUUUUUCUUCUUCUUCUUCCUUCUUUCCUUCUUCAUCUUUUCUUCCUUUUCCUUAUUUUACUUUUUCCUCUACACUAACCUAAAAUGCACUAAACUAAAAUCGAUAUCUACUAACAAUCUAAAUAAAAAAUUAAUACAUAUAUGAAAAAAUGGGGGCUCACAUCGGGGGCGGCCGGCGAGGGCGACGCGGAGGGCGACAACGGCGGCGGCGGGGGGCGGAGGNNNNNNNNNNNNNNNNNNNNNNNNNNNNNNNNNNNNNNNNNNNNNNNNNNNNNNNNNNNNNNNNNNNNNNNNNNNNNNNNNNNNNNNNNNNNNNNNNNNNNNNNNNNNNNNNNNNNNNNNNNNNNNNNNNNNNNNNNNNNNNNNNNNNNNNNNNNNNNNNNNNNNNNNNNNNNNNNNNNNNNNNNNNNNNNNNNNNNNNNNNNNNNNNNNNNNNNNNNNNNNNNNNNNNNNNNNNNNNNNNNNNNNNNNNNNNNNNNNNNNNNNNNNNNNNNNNNNNNNNNNNNNNNNNNNNNNNNNNNNNNNNNNNNNNNNNNNNAGGGCGACGACGACGGCGACGGGGGCGGCUCGGGGCGGCGGAGGGCGACGACGACGGGGGUGCGGCUCUGGGGCGGCGGAGGGCGGGGGGCAACUGACGAUGAAAUUGUGAAAUUUUCACAAGUCCAGCUUAUAUACCCAGAGCAUUGGUUCCGGUUCGUCGCAACAACCGGGACCAAUGCCCCUUUUAGUACCGGUUGGUGCCACGAACCGGGACCAAAGGCCAGUUUUCGGCAGCCCAAAGGGCGGGAAACGACGGCCUUUGGUUCCGGUUGGUGGCACCAACCGGUACCAAAGGGGGGUAUUCGUACCGGUUGGUGCCACAAACCAGUUCCAAUGCCCCCCUUUAGUCUCGAUUGGUGGCACCAACCGGGACCAAAGGCCUCGUGCUGCCCAUGCCUAAAUGUUUAGUCCCACCUCGCUAGCUGAGAGGGGCGCAGUGGUUUAUAAGCCCCACUGCCGCACCCCUCUCGAGCUCCUCUCCAUUGCAGGCUUUCGGGCCUAAUUGUCACUGGUAUGCCUGAUGGGCCUACUAGGCCUUCUGCGGGCCUGAAUCAUGGCCCAUGGAUGGGUUUCUAGUCGUAUUCAGGCCGUGGAGGCCCAGUAGGUGGCACAUUUUUUAUUUUUUCCCUUUUUUGUUUUCCUUUUGCUUUAUUUAUUUUGUUUUGUUUCUACUUACAACAAAAAACUUAUUUAUUUUAUUUUAUUUUGUUUCUAAUUACUUACUUAUAUUACUUUAUGAUAAUUCUUUUUGCUAUUAAGUUUCUAACAAAAAAAGUUCUUUAUGAAAAUUCUUUUUGCUUUUAAUGAUUUUGAACAGAAAAUACUUUGAUAAUUUUAGUUGCAUCAAUUUUAUAUGUAAUUUUAGUUUCAAAAAUACUAGAGGUUGCUUAUAAUGUUUUGAACAGAAAAUACUUUGAUAAUUUUAGUUUCGUAAAUUUAUUUAUGUUAUUAAAGUUUAUUUUAUUUUACAUUAUUUUGUUUCUACUUAUAUAUUUUAUUAAAGUUUAUAUUAUUUGUUUCUAAUUACUUAUUUAAUUUAUUUUAUGAUAAUUGUUUUUGCUAUUAAAGUUUGUAACAAAAAAGUUCUUUAUGAAAAUUCUGUGAACUCCUGACUUUUUGUGUGUUCAAAAUGCACCAUUCAAAGCCACAUCAUCAAUUUUCAACCCUUUCUGACUUCAUUUGUUAUUUUUCAUGCAUUUACUGGUUAUUUUGAGCUAUAAGACCCUGAAAUUGAAAAGCAUUUCAAAUGAACUAUGAAAAGGUUAAAAGUUGGCAUGGUAUCAUCAUUUCAUCCACAUAGCAUGUGCAAGAAAGUUGAGAGGGUUACGGCAAAAACUGGAUGCACUUCGUGUACAAAACGGACAAUCUCUUUCGAAGUAUCAGGAUUUCAUACGGAAACUUGUUUGUUACAACAUGCAUUUCAAAUGAACUAUGAAAAGGUUGAAAGUUGGCAUGGUAUCAUCAUAAUAGUUGUGGAGAGAAAGUCUUCACUUUUUCUUCGCUUGUGUCGUUUACUUAUUGCGCCGUAACCAUGGAUAAUCUUCAUCGUUUAUUAGGAUGCUUGGGUCAGCCUUGACAUUGAAGGGAGGAAUUUCAUGAAAAUUUUCAUAAUCUUCGGACAUGUCUAUCGUGCCCUUCAGUCCCACGAUGUCCCUCUUUCCUGAAAAAACUAUGUGGCACUUUGGCUCAUCGUAUGAUGUAUUCGCUUCCUUAUCUUUUUUUCUCGGUUUGGUAGAUAUGUCCUUCACAUAGAUAACCUGUGUCACAUCAUUGGCUAGGACGAGCGGUUCGUCAGUGUACCCAAGAUUGUUCAGAUCCACUGUUUUCAUUCCGUACUGUGGGUCUACCUGUACCCCACCUCCUGACAGAUUGACCCAUUUGCACUUAAACAAAGGGACCUUAAAAUCAUGUCCGUAGUCAAGUUCCCAUAUGUCCACUGUGUAACCAUAAUAUGUGUCAUUUCCCCUCUCGGUUGCUGCAUCAAAGAGGACACCACUGUUUUGGUUGGUACUCUUUUGAUCUUGCGCGAUCAUGUAAAAUAUAUUCCCAUUUAUCUCGUAUCCUUUGUAAGUCAAUAUAGUCGAAGAUGGUUCCCUCGACAACGAGUACAACUCAUCACAAACAGUGUUGUCACCUCUGAGACGUGUUUCCAACCAACUGCUGAAAGUACUGAUGUGUUCACAUGUAAUCCAGUCGUCGCACUACUCCGGGUGUUUGGAGCGCACACUGUUCUUGUGUUCCCCUCCAAGCGUUUUGUAGAACUAGGACGUGUAGUGUGCUUGAGACCAAGAAUGCCCGUCCCUGCAUAUUAUUGAGUCCCCUCCAAGCGUGCCUUUUCCAGUCAGUCUCCCCUCAUACCGCGAUUUAGGGAGACCUAUCUUCUUAAGGCCAGGAAUGAAGUCAACACAAAACCCAAUGACAUCCUCUGUUUGAUGGCCCAUGGAGAGGCUUCCUUCUGGCCUAGCGCAGUUACGGACAUAUUUCUUUAGGACUCCCAUGAACCUCUCAAAUGGGGUACAUAUUGUGUAGAAAUACGAGGCCCAGAAUGACAAUCUCGUCAACUAGAUGAACUAGGACGUGCGUCAUGAUAUUGAAGAAGGAUGGUGGGAACACCAACUCGAAACUGACAAGACACCGCGCCACAUCACUCCUUAGCCUUGGUAUGAUUUCUGGAUCGAUCACCUUCUAAGAGAUUGCAUUGAGGAAUGCACAUAGCUUCAUAAUGGCUAAUCGGAAGUUUUCCGGUAGAAGCCCCCUCAAUGCAACCGAAAGCAGUUGCGUCAUAAUCACGUGAAAGUUGUAACAUCCCAAAUUAUCAUUUUGGAAUGUUAUACACUAGAUCAUCAUUGCAUAUCAAAUUUUAUUGUAUUUUUGUCGAUCCUAUAAGAUUCUACGCAACUCAAGGACCCUCGGAGAGAGUUGGGGAUUUCGUUAUUUUCAUAUUUUAGUUUCUCAAAUUUUGAAAAUAGGAUCAAUUGAUUUUAUUUAUUUUAUCUUCAAUUAUUUGUAUUAUCAAAAUAUGAGAGAGGUAAUAAAAUGACUUUCCCAAAAAUAAAGAAAUAUUGAGGAUUUAAUAAAAAAAUCAAAUAAGAUUUUAUUUUGGUUUUAUUUGCUAUUUUAUUUGAAUUUAGGAAAAAUGCGCGUUUCUCAAAAUUGCAUUUAGGCCCCAAAUAAAUGUUCAUCCUGUGCGGCUUGAUUUUAGAAGCCGGAGAAAAUUUAUUUCAGAAUUUAUGGAGUCCGUUUAGUAUUCCUUUUAUUUUUUUCUGAGCGUAACUAUUUAAAAAAACGUGCAACCGACUUACCGGACCGUGUCCGACCUGGACACCCGGCCCGGUCGGCUUUAAAUAGCCGGGAGGCCCAGCCGCCACCCCCACUGAAACCCUAGCCGCCCCUAGCCCUCCGCCACUGCCUGCCGCCGCCGCCGGAGGUAGAUCUCGCCGCCGGUUUUUUUAAAAACCGAUCGGUUUUCUGUCGGUUCGUUCGGUUUUUUUAGUUCAUUUUUUAAAUAGAUCAGUUUUUCCAGUUUAUUUAUUUAGCGAGCGUUCGCCCGUUCGUUCGUUUUAACGAACGCGUUCUUCGUUUAGAUCCAGUUAACGAACGUUCGUUCGUUAACCUGUUCGUCGUUUUCUUUUUCUCGGAUUAAAUCCGCGAUUUUUCUGAUCGCGAUUUCUGAUCCGAUUUUUGUUUUAGUUUAACUUUUCGCUCGGUUGUCGGAAUCAGGCGAUUCAAGCGCCUGGAGUUUCGUCUCGAAACUCUCUUUCCGUUUAACCAACUCAAACAAGUUUUUGCCACUGUAAAAAAUUGCCUUAGAUCCAGAAUAGUAAAUGAAGCUUGUUUUUUGCCGUUUGUCUUUCGUUGCUUCGUUCGAUUUGAUUCUUUUUGCCAACCGGAGUUCUUAAGUUGAACUUUCUGGUUAGAUCUCUUAUUUGAUUUUUACCUGUACAUUAGAUGAGUACUUAUUGUAUGCUUGUUUGUUUGCGAUAGAGUACCCGGAGUGCGCCGCUUGCUACUUCGAAUCGCUAGGUUUUGUGGAUCAUCAGCAAGGCAAGUAACACUUUGAUCAUACCUCCUACUACCCAGUUUUUAUUACAUUAGAUCAAUCCUCACACAUUACAUGAUUAGGACCUAAUUAAAUUGUGGGUUUGGGGAGUAGUUGAGGUAGAACCUAUUACCUGUUUAUUAUCAAACCUUUGGAAGUUACUUCUACGUUGCUUAUUAUGCUAUGCUAUGCUAGUAGACGUGGAUUGGGUGAGUGUAUCCAUGACAGAUGUGAGAUUAUUAAAUUAAUGGUUUAUCUAAGGUGGCAACUUAAAUACACAUCUGGGUGGAUUGAGGCACCUGGGUAUUCCAGCGGUUGCCUGUUUUCUUUUGGACCGCCAUCCAGGCUCAAAGGGAUCAUGAGAUUAUUCAUGAUAGAAACUUCCGUGUGUAGCCACAAGCUACUAUGGGCUCUAGCAUAGUUGACUAAGUCGUGCAAACACUUACAGUGGUAGACUAGCAGAUGUAGGGGAUGUAGGUGGUACGGUCUACCCAUCGUAAGGUACUAGCGCUUCUGAAAGACUAUGUCUCGGUCAUCCAUUUCUCAAACACCAUGCAGUGCAAGAAAUCCAAUGGAGGAGAUCGAGUCUUGUGGGGAAAAGUGCGCAAAUCUCUGUAGAGUGUAUAAACUAAUCAUGGUUAGCCGUGUCCCCGGUUAUGGACAUCUUGAGUAUCUAGUACCUGGAUUAUCAUGUGAAUCUCAUCAUGUUACUUUAAAAUUAAUUUGUCGGGUUUUGUUUAAUAAUGAUGCUUAAUUGGGAUUGAGAAUGCUGUUAACCAUUCUCAAUGUUUAACAACUAUAAAUAAAAUUUAUUCCUUUGAAGUAGGGAAAAAUUGGCUUUACGGAAAACUGUAACCAUAGAGAUUUCCACCAGCCAAAUAUGUAUGUAGUAUAUCCUUAUUCUUCCAUUACUCUCUAUGUGUUACAUUACCAGCAUAUUCCAUGUGCUGACCCGUUUCGGGUUGCAACGUUAAUGUUGUAGACUUCUCAGACGACGAUUAAGGUGCCUUUAGGUCGUGGUUCUAUACUCAGUGAUACCGCUGGAGUUGAUGGACUCACUUAUCUUCCAAGCCUUCCGCUGUUAUCGUUAUUAGAUGGCCUUAAGCCAUACUUAUUGUAAUAAGUUCUCUUUUCAGACACUCGAUGUAAUAAGUGUGUGAUUGCUACUCUGUUAUAAAUCCUUCAAGUACUGUGUGGUGUCAGCAUUACUGAUCCAGGGAUGACACCUGAGCACAGAGAUUGGAUUGUUUGAGGUCUAGUCGCUACAAAAGUCAUGAGACUUUAGGUUCUUGAACCUUUUCUCUGGCAUAUUUAUUAUUUCCUUUAUAUUCGACGAGAAGCCGGUCGGGACCUUCAUACUAAGCAGGCAUUCAAAGAUUUCCUUCUCUUCUUUGGUAAGAGCAUAGCUGGCAGGAUCUUCAUACUGCUUUGGAGACAUGCCGUCUUUUUCGUGCAAACGUUGCAGGUCCUCCCGUGCCUCAGCUGUAUCUUUUGUCUUUCCAUACACGCCCAAGAAGCCUAGCAGGUUCACGCAAAGGUUCUUCGUCACGUGCAUCACAUCGAUCGAAGAGCGGACCUCUAGGUCUUUCCAGUAGGGUAGGUCCCAAAAUAUAGAUUUCUUCUUCCACAUGGGUGCGCGUCCCUCAGCGUCAUUCAGAACAGCUAGUCCGUCGGGACCCUUUCCAAAGAUUACGUGUAAAUCAUUGACCAUAGCAAGUACGUGAUCACCGGUACGCAUGGCGGGCUUCUUCCGGUGAUCUGCCUCGCCUUUGAAAUGCUUGCCUUUGUUUAGACAUUGAUGGUUGGUCGGAAGAAAUCGACGAUGGCCCAGGUACACAUUAUUCCUGCAUUUGUUCAGGUAUAUACUUUCGGUGUCAGUUAAACAGUGUGUGCAUGCGUGGUAUCCCUUGUUUGUCUGUCCUGAAAGGUUACUGAGAGUGGGCCAAUCAUUGAUGGUUACAAACAACAACGCGUGCAGGUUAAAUUCCCGCUGUUUGUGCUCAUCCCACGCACGUGCAUUGUUUCCAUUCCAUAGCUGUAAAAGUUCUUCAACUAAUGGCCUUAGGUACACAUCAAUGUCGUUGCCGGGUUGCUUAGGGCCUUGGAUGAGAACUGGCAUCAUAAUGAACUUCCGCUUCAUGCAUAUCCAAGGAGGAAGGUUAUACAUACAUAGAGUCACGGGCCAGGUGAUGUAAUUGCUGCUCUUUUCCCCGAAAGGAUUAAUGCCAUCCGUGCUUAAAGCAAACCAUACGUUCCUUGGGUCACCUGCAAACUCAACCCAGUACUUUCUCUCGAUUUUUUUCGCUGUGACCCGUCAGUGGGUGCUCUUAACUUCCCGUCUUUCUUACGGUCCUCACUGUGCCAUCGCAUCAACUUGGCAUGCUCUUUGUUUCUGAACAGUCGUUUCAACCGUGGUAUUAUAGGAGCAUACCACAUCACCUUCGCAGGAACCCUCUUCCUGCGGGGCUCGCCGUCAACAUCACCAGGGUCAUCUCGUCUGAUCUUAUACCGCAAUGCACCACAUACCGGGCAUGCGUUCAAAUCCUUGUACGCACCGCGGUAGAGGAUGCAGUCAUUAGGGCAUGCAUGUAUCUUCUGCACCUCCAAUCCUAGAGGGCAUACGACCUUCUUUGCUGCGUACGUACUGUCGGGCAAUUCGUUAUUCUUUGGAAGUUUCUUCUUCAAUAUUUUCAGUAGCUUCUCAAAUCCUUUGUCAGGCACAACAUUCUCUGCCUUCCACUGCAGCAAUUCCAGUACGGUACCGAGCUUUGUGUUGCCAUCUUCGUAAUUGGGGUACAACCCUUUUUUGUGAUCCUCUAACAUGCGAUCGAACUUCAGCUUCUCCUUUUGACUUUCGCAUUGCGUCCUUGCAUCGACAAUGACCCGAUGGAGAUCAUCAUCAUCGGGCACAUCGUCUGGUUCCUCUUAAUCUUCAGCAGCUUCCCCCAUUGCAGCAUCAUCGGGCACAUCGUCUGGUUCCUCUUGAUCUUCAGCAGCUCCCCCCGUUGCAGCAUCACCGUAUUUAGGGGGCACAUAGUUGUCAUCGUCCUCUUUUUCUUCGCCGUCUUCCAUCAUAACCCCUAUUUCUCCAUGCCUUUCCAAACAUUAUAGUGUGGCAUGAAACCGUUGUAAAGCAGGUGGGUGUGCAGGAUUUUCCGGUUAGAGUAAGACAUCGUAUUCCCACAUUUAGGGCAUGGACAAUACAUAAAACCAUUCUUCUUGUUUGCCUCAGCCACUUCGAGAAAUUCAUGCACGCCCUUAAUGUACUCGGAGGUGUGUCUGUCACCGUACAUCCAUUGUCGGUUCAUCUGCGUGCAUUAUAUAUAAUUAUAUGUGUAAAAAGUAAGAAAAUCAGACAAGUAUCUAUCUAAAGUAAGAAUUUUUUUUCUUUCAGAAAAAAGAUAAGAACAAGAGGCUCACCAUGGUGGUGCCGGCGACGAGAUCGGCGCGGGUGAUCGACGGUGAUGAAGACGAGGACGGGGCGACGGACCGCUAAACCUAGACAAAUCUCGAGAAAAAAUGAGCUCGGAGGUCGAGCUUCGAGAGAACAAAACUUAACUAGCGUGGCCCGGGCAUUUCAUCGAACACCUCAUGUGCAUAGGAGGUGAGCUAGAGCACCCAAAUGCCCUCCCCUCGCCGGCCAAAAAAUAGAGCAGUGUGGACUGCUCUGCUCGCCGGCGAGGGGGUAUAUAUAUUUGUCCCGGUUUUUGACAAGAACCGGGACUAAAGGCCCCCCUUUGUAUUGGUUCUAGGCACGAAUCGGGACCAAUGACUGUGGGCCAGGAGCGAGGCUCGUUGGUCCCGAUUCGUGCCUAGAACCGAGAUAAAUGGGUCCACAUAAACUGGGACAAAUGCCUCCCGAGGCCCGGCUAGGCCCCUGGGCACAUGAACCGGGGCGUAUGCCCCCAUGGGUCCCGGUUCGUGACUGAACCGAGACUAAUGGGCUUGCCAGGCUCGAACCAAAAUCCUGUUUUCUACUAGUGUUGGCUAGUUGUUUCCUGCGGUUAGUUUAAUGAAUUCCUCUUUAAGCUCUUGAAACAUAUUACGCUAGAAUAAUCACGGUCUGAAUUUUGAUGAUAAGUAUGUUGCUUUGCGCUCUACAACCGGUAACUGUGGCUGCUCCAUCAUUCGUAUUUUGGAGGUGGAGCGUUAUCAUUUUGACCACUCAUACAUAAAUAAGUUAUGCCCGCAUCAUUUUCACAAGUUUGCCGUCGUUCCAUCGGUCGGUAGCUCGGGAGGUUUAGUAAUAAUUUUGAAUAGAGUUUUUUUUCUGCUAUGGUUAAUGAUUCAUCAGUGGGCUCAAGUUCUAAAAUUUAGAACUUCUCUGUCUUCUGAACAGUGGAUGAUAGUAAAUAUUUAUGGCCGAUGUGAUGGUGCAGUGAGAGAUGAUUCUUUUAGUUGGUUAUAUGGGCUUGAUAUUGCAGUAGAUGGAAAAUGGUUGCUAUUAGGUGAUUACAAUUUCAUUCGACCGCCAUAGAAUAGGAAUCAUGCGUCAGGUAAUAUUAACGAUACGAUCACUUUUAAUGACAUUAUCGAGGCUCAAUGUUUGGUCGAAUUGUCGUUAUCUAAUGUGACACAUACUAAAUAAAGAAAGGUUCUUAUAUUCGAGAACUAUAGGAUUUUGCAUCUAGGCUUUCAAAAUACGGUAAAUUAUCUACAAAUUCACGUUUGUUCCAUAAAAAAAAAUCUUCAACGUGCGUUAUGAAGAUGGAGUAACUCUAUUUGCAAGCUACUGUUUCUUAUUGAUAAUCGCCACAAGGUUUUAAAUUUCAUGGAUGUUUUAGACCAUGAUGGAUAUUCGUUGGAGUCUGAAGUGCUCUCGACCUGAGGCUGUUUAGAGUGAAAGCCAAAAUUCACUGGAUUUUUUUGAAUGCUACACAAUUACAACUUGGAACAUUUAGAAAGAGAGAAAUAAUUUUAUUUUCAACUAGGCUAGGCCUUCAAAUAGAACAUGGUUAGAAAGGGCAAAGGAUGGCCUAACUUGGCUUAUAUAUAGGGUCUCAUCAUAUCUAAGUGAUUAUAUCGCAUAUUUUGUUCUCUUUCUUUAAAACUUUAGUGCUAUAUUUAUUGAAUUUUUUGCUCUAGUAUCCAACUCUUUCUAGUGGAAUUUUCUCCCUCCAUCUUAUGAGCAUAUAACUAGUAUUUUUAAUAUACUAAAUAGGAGCGCCUCCUACUAUUUAGAUAUUAGUUUUGUUAAAUGUUUGUUACGUAUUUGCAAAAUAUUGAUCGUGUAUUAAAAAAUUCCAUGUAUUUGAAUUUUUUUCAUCCCAUGAUUAAAAAAUAUUCACCACAUAUUUCAAAAAAUGCAUCAUGUAUUUAAAGAAUGCACAUAUUAAAAAUGUUCAUUCAUGUAUUUGAAAAAUAUCAAUCGCAUAUCUAAAUAAAAUACUCAUCUCGUAUUUGAAAAACGAUUCAUCACAUAUUUACAGAGUGUACAAGUAUAAAAGAUGAUAAUCGUAGAAAGAAGGAAUUUGAAAAGGGAGAAAGAAAAGAAAAGGGUAAUUGAAAACCAGCAAAAAACCAAAAGAAAAUGGGAAAGAAACAGAAAACCGCUGAAAACAACGAAAAGCCCGAGCAAAAUCAGAAAACAAGCUAAAUUAUGCUCCGCUCACCCUUUUUGAACCUUGCACACCCCCNNNNNNNNNNNNNNNNNNNNNNNNNNNNNNNNNNNNNNNNNNNNNNNNNNNNNNNNNNNNNNNNNNNNNNNNNNNNNNNNNNNNNNNNNNNNNNNNNNNNNNNNNNNNNNNNNNNNNNNNNNNNNNNNNNNNNNNNNNNNNNNNNNNNNNNNNNNNNNNNNNNNNNNNNNNNNNNNNNNNNNNNNNNNNNNNNNNNNNNNNNNNNNNNNNNNNNNNNNNNNNNNNNNNNNNNNNNNNNNNNNNNNNNNNNNNNNNNNNNNNNNNNNNNNNNNNNNNNNNNNNNNNNNNNNNNNNNNNNNNNNNNNNNNNNNNNNNNNNNNNNNNNNNNNNNNNNNNNNCCUACACAUCUUAGUGAUUUAUGAAAUAAAACUCUUUUUUGGGUAAGCCAACGAGUGCUUACCAUUUAUUGUUUACCAAAAAAAUCCUUUUGAGCAGGUAAAUCAUGGACUAACCUACCAGUGUCUCGUACCUAAGAAUUAGGUAAUUUUAUGUCAGUCUCCUUGUCCUUCGUCCAAUGUAUGUAUGUUCCCCUUCCCUCUCCUAUUUUUUUUACCUUUUGCCCCCAUCUCUCCUUUUCACUACUUUUUUUCUUCCUAAAAACCACCUCAACUGUCCCACCUCUUAUUGACUUUCCAAAUAAAAUUUUGUUUUCUUUGAUAAGCGAAUAAGUCCUUAUCAAAUUAGUGUCUACCAAAUAAAAUCAUUUUUUACACAACAACAUUAACAUGAACAAGUAAAUCAGGCCUAAUAUACUAAGAUUUGUUCGUGCCCCUUGCAACGUAUGGGAAAUGAUCUAAUCAUUAUUAAACAUUUUAACAGCUAGAUGGGCCUCAUUGGUCGUUAUGUGCUGGUAUAUAAGGUUAUUAAGGAGAAAACACAUGUGGGAACGUGCGUGCAUAGGGUUUCCACUGGCAGUUCUCUAGCCAUUUUUUUAUGCUACAUGGAUAGAUGUACAUACACAACGAGGGAAGGAUAACAUGCAAAAAAAGGAGGUUAGACGGAAGGUCGGACUAAGGAGGAGAGCGAAACGAGGAAUGAGGAAUAUUGCGUUGUCUUCAAGUAGGAGAGAUACGUAUGGGAAAAAAGGAAGUGGGAGGGAGGGCCAAACGAAGGAGAAGAGCGAAACGGGAAAUGAAAAGAACUAUGUUCUUUUUAAAUAUGAGAGGUAGAAGAGGUGCAUGGGCUGGACAAUCCCAUUUACGGGAACAUGGGUAGACUGUUUUUGGUGGGUGCAGUAACAACACCUUUUGUUUGAGGCAUGCAAUAACAACAUCUGGUCUACCAAUUCUCAGGGCACAUCGAUUUUGGGUCUUUUUGUCUAGGAAAACUACAAAACAUGGCUCGCCAGCGCAUGCAGCAGGGGCCAUAUCUAUUGAUACAUACGACAUGCUUGGCGCAAACACAAUAUGAUGAAUAGGCCGACCUAUUUUCCAACGCUAGAAAAAGGCCGACUCAUGACAGUGCAUGCCAUCGCCACCUGGAACGGAAAACCCUAUUUGCCGCUCUUGAUGGCAAGUAGUAGUCGGCCGAAUGCAUAGAGGCGACAGAGUGGGCCGCCCAACUUGUCAUACGUGCGAGGGCAUCCAUUUUUUGUUUUGAUUCAUCUUCUUUUUUUUGUUCCUUUUUCAUUUUUAUUUUUUGGUUUCCAUAAAUUCAAAAGUUUCAAAAAUAUUUCAGAAUUUGACCAAAAAAAUAAAAAUUGAAAAAAUUAUUUCAUAUUUCAAAUUGUUGUUCAUAUUUUUCAAAAAAUGUUCGAAAGUUUAUUUGUUCUACGAUUUUCAAUAAAUGUACGAAAAUUCAAGAAUAUAUGGAAUUUAAAAAAAAUCCUGUUUUCCAAUUUGGAUCCCAUUGUCAAGAAAUGUUCAUGUUCGAGUUUAUAAAAAUUGUUCAUCGUUUUCAAAAAUAUGUUCGUGUUUUGGAAAAAAUAAGGUUCAGAAUUUUUGAAAAGUAUUCACACUUAUAUAAAAAACAAAACAAAAUCAAUUCUCGACGGGCUAGCAACAUGUUACUAGAGUGCGAGGUCGCAAGGAACCUCCUUUUCUUGGUAUUUUCGCGUCACGUGUUAAAAAACUCGCUUUGCGUUGUACCCUGUGGGUCAGCCUAGUCACCUGGACCCUGUGGUCGUCCCGCUCCUAUAUGACGCAUGCAAAAUGCAUCAUACUGGAUGUCCCGCCUGGUACAAGGGAUCAAAAGUGAAGACAAACAUGACAUUUUUCAUUUAAUAAGAAGAGAACGCGCGACCCUAUAGAAGACCAAAUGAGCAAAUGAAACUAGAUUUUUUGUUGUCCAUGGCAUGAGGCACAGGCCCAAAUGGUCCAUGGGGGCGCCUCCAAACCCCACACGACCCCACUACGCCUUUUCCAUGUUCUUUUCUCCUCCAUCAUCAAUUUACACAAAGACUUAUCGAUCGUGCGUCCUACAUUACCACUAGCAAAUCUACCUCGACCUUUUCUCUUAAGCCCUACCAUAACUAAACCCUAA
rnacentral:lncRNA from 1 species